GGUGUUCUUCAGAGGGGGACUGAAAAAAGUGAUUUAGGCCUAUAGUUGAAGUUAAAAGGAUUCUCAGGAAGUCAUCGUUGAAACAGUGAAAAAUAUGUUUCUCAUAAAGAGUGCACAGUUCAUAUUUCAACAAGGUGUUCAAGACUUGUCAUCUGAAGAACUCCUCUGAUCUGGAUACUCUACAUCCAAACCUGCCCAAGAAAAGGGACUGAAAGACUGAUGCAUUUUUGCUGGAGAGAAAAUCAUAUUAAGUUUCUUAGAAAACUUAUGAAGAAUGGCUACAAAUACCCCUGUUCAGGUGUACAUCCCUACAUCGAUCUGAGAGCUUUUGUCUUCCGCCUUUACAGCAUCAGCACUGGAAUUUGUCUUAUCUGCCCUGAGAUGUCUGCAUUACUGAUGUCUGCAUCUCAGCUAGUUCUCUAGACCUCGAGUCUGUAACUGACAACCCCAAGGUUUAAAGAUAUGACUACAUGAGCAAGUAUGCUGUCAGCCUACAACAGCUGACGCUGCAACAUCAGAGUACAUUUAUACGUAGCCGCUUAGCCUGACACAACCCAGCCUCACUAUGUGUGGUUGUGUUGGGUGGAGCCACAGCAAAAUGUCAGGAGGCAUCCUUGUACCAACAUGUACUGCACUUCUCUGUGCAGAAUUCUUCCAGUGUCAAGAUAUUAGAAUCAGUCUCCCACAAUUCUGUAUUACAUGGUGUUUUCUAAAAUAAAACUUUUUUUUUUUUAGUUAUUAGAUCUAUAUUUUGCUAUUUUGUCUCUCUGCCAUCAACAUGAGAUCUGCAAAGGCUAAUGUACCUUACAUUUCUGGUUCGCAUAUC